rnacentral:lncRNA from 1 species
CACAAUACAAUACAAUCAGCAACCCAACAACAUACAUUUCAAUACCCACAAACAAUUUCCCAAACGCCCCAGCCCACUCUAUUCCCCCUUUCGACCCGGCCCAUUUCCCUUUUCCCCUUCACAAUAGAAGCAGUCCAAAACGCUAACAGAAAAGAAAACCAGCAACGUUUCUUCAAAACGUGACAAAGCAACAGCGUCCAUUCAAACUUCACGGUGCAACAACGAUGACAACA